GUAUGUCUCCGCGUCUUCCGCGGGGCGGGUGUGCAGGGCCCGCAGCAUUGAACUAGAUGUCGUCCCCGCAGGCCCCAGAAGAUGGGCAGGGCUGUGGCGACCGCGGCGAUCCCCCUGGGGACCUCCGUAGCGUCUUGGUCACGACCGUGCUCAACCUCGAGCCGCUGGACGAGGAUCUCUUCAGGGGACCCGAAGGUGCCAGUACUGUACCAAGUGGAGCGGACACGAACAGGAUCGAGCUUCUCGGUGCGCUCUGUGAAGGCCGUGCAACAUGGGAAGCCCAUCUUCAUCUGCCAGGCCUCCUUCCAGCAGGCCCAGCCCAGCCCCAUGCAGCACCAGUUCUCCAUGCCCACUGUGCCACCACCAGAAGAGCUGCUUGACUGUGAGACCCUCAUUGACCAGUAUUUAAGGGACCCUAACCUCCAAAAGAGGUACCCAUUGGCGCUCAACCGAAUUGCUGCUCAAGAGGUCCCCAUUGAGAUCAAGCCAGUAAACCCAUCCCCCCUGAGCCAGCUGCAGAGAAUGGAGCCCAAACAGAUGUUCUGGGUGCGAGCCCGGGGCUAUAUUGGUAAGAGGACCCCAUGGAUGGGAGGAAACCACUCUCCAAGGGGUCUACCACUCAUUUGCUGUGCGGCCUUGGGCACAUGAGUUCCCUUCUCUGGGCCUGUUUCCUUAUCUGCAUGAAGGGGAAGUUGGCUUAGCUUCUCACCUGGGCCCUCUCAGCCUUUUGCAUGGGGAGAAUGUGGAGAUGACUAUAAUCCCAACACAAGGCCUUUCUGAGGAAGGCAAAAGGCACCUCGCUGGGGUUGUUGUCCAGCUUUGCUGCUAACUACAAAGUGUCUUUGUGCAAACUGGAAGAAGACACCCCUUUUGGGGCCUAGCGUGGGAGACUUGGGUGGUGAAGACUGAAUUUCAGUCCCUGCUCACCCCUGCCCUCCCCAAGUCGCCAUCUCACUUAUCCCCCGUCACACACACACACUGUAGGCCAAGUGCUCUUGUGCAGCAACCAGUCUGCACACCCAUGCACGGGAGUCCCUUUUUCCCCUACCUCCCUGCAGGUCCUGAGCUGGAAAGCCCAGGAGCCCAGGGCUGAUGGGGACCUGUUGCAGGCGAGGGCGACAUGAAGAUGCACUGCUGCGUGGCCGCCUAUAUCUCCGACUAUGCCUUCUUGGGCACUGCACUGCUGCCUCACCAGUGGCAGCACAAGGUGCACUUCAUGGUCUCACUGGACCAUUCCAUGUGGUUCCACGCCCCCUUCCGAGCUGACCACUGGAUGCUCUAUGAAUGCGAGAGUCCCUGGGCCGGUGAGUGGGGGGCCGUGUAGGACAACGGCAUUGACCUUGGGUGGCAGGAGCCUGCUUUCUUAGGUGAUGCUGAUUUCCCGACUUCCUGUGUGGCACUGCACAGGUCACUUCCUUUCCUUCCCUCCCAGGCUUUGGCAUCUUCAUCUUCAAAAUGAGAGGGUGAGGCCGGGACACCUGCUCUGCUCUAAAUUUCUAGAACGUGCUGGAAAUGUGAUUCACCUUCUCCCAGGGACCCAGUUCUAGUCCCAGAACCAGUUCAGAUUCUUUGUAUUAUAAUAGGCAAAUCAUAUCUUCCAUCUGAGCCUCAGUUUCCUCAUGUAAACAAAGAGGGUUACAUUACAGCAGUGGUAUCCAAACCCACAGCCCAUCAGACUGCCAUUUGGGGAUGUCUUUUCAAAAUAGAUUCUGAUUCCACCCUCAAGAUUCUGACUCAGUAGGUCUUAGAUAAGGUCCAAGAAACUGUAUUUUUAAGUUCUCUAAGUGAUUCUGAUUAACCUGAUUGGGAUCGGGGCAUUCAGUGGUCCCUAAGGGCCUGCUUGGACCUUCCUUGCAGGGGAGAGAAACAAGACUCAUUCAUCAAUGUCUAGCUUCAGAACCCUGACCUCCUUUCCAAGGGAGUACAUUUCAAAUGAAGAAAAGCUUUGCUUGAUAAACGAAGGACAAAACUUAAGGACUCUUUAUACUCAGAUAAGGGGUAUUCUCAAGUACCAACAGCAUCACAAUCCAAGAUUGAUAACCUUGAAGUGAGGACAUGGGUUCAGAUUUGGCCUCAUCAUGGGGCCAAAUUCCUGACCCUCUAUGGAUUUCAGUCCUGGUCUGGAAAACUGGACAACACAUAACUGCUUCAUUUGGCCACUGUGAGAACUGAGUGAGCUCUGCUAUGUGUAAGGGAAACCAGCAAUCAUCCUCACAAACAUCAAACUUGGGCCCAAAGCCAGCAAGGGAGGAGUCUCCAGGUGGGGAGGGAAGAGGCCAGACCUCAUGGCCUCAAGUCCUCUCUGCUGAGUCCCUUCUUCCCCUUGGUGGUGGUAGUGGGGAUAUUUUUCAUGAAUUACCACUUGGAGGACCUGGCUUGAUUUAUUAUACAGGGAGCCAAUAGUUUUCCUAACACAAGUGGCCAGAGGUACAGCAGUUCUGCUUGGCCGAGCUGUUGAAGGAAACUGUUCUCAGAGCUCCUCCGUGAUCUUUUUGAGGAAGCGAGCAGAGGUGUGAAAGUGCUUUUAAACUGUCAAGUGGAGUUCCUGUGGGAGGAGUUACCCCUCAAUGACGGUCCAUAAUAAGCUCAUGAAGGGGCAUUUGGAGCAGCCACGACACUCAGUGCACCCUUGUGUGGGGCAGCCCUGCCCUGGGCCAGACCCUUUGCAAGAAGUCCACUUGGAGGUUGGGCGUGGUGAUGUGCACCUGUAAUCCCAGAUGCUCAGGAGGCUGAGGCGGGAGGAUCCCUUGAACCCAGGAGCUUGAGACCAGCCUGGGCAACAUAGUGAGACUCUGUUUCAGG
rnacentral:sRNA from 1 species